GUGGUGGUCUUCGAUUUAUUGGAGCUUGGAAGGGAGGGUUUGGAUUUAGUGGAAGUAUUGGGCAUCCAAGUCCCUCUUGCGAAACUUGAGGAUUUUGUGAAUUGGUUGUUCUAUGGGAUUCUCGGGUUAGGGGGUAUGGGUGGUUUGGCUUGCGGCAUUUAGUGGAGCUAGGGAAGGAUUUGGUAAUUGAGGCCAUGUUUCGGGAGUAACAGUAGCAGAGGAAUUUCUAUCAUGU
rnacentral:lncRNA from 1 species